rnacentral:rRNA from 1 species
AGAGCGAACGCUGGCGGCAGGCCUAACACAUGCAAGUCGAACGGACCCUUCGGGGUUAGUGGCGGACGGGUGAGUAACACGUGGGAACGUGCCUUUUGGUUCGGAAUAGCUCCUGGAAACGGGUGGUAAUGCCGAAUGUGCCCUUCGGGGGAAAGAUUUAUCGCCAUUAGAGCGGCCCGCGUCUGAUUAGCUAGUUGGUGAGGUAAUGGCUCACCAAGGCGACGAUCAGUAGCUGGUCUGAGAGGAUGACCAGCC